CCUACGGGAGGCAGCAGUGGGGAAUAUUGCACAAUGGGCGAAACCCUGAUGCAGCAAUGCCGCGUGUAUGAAGGAGGCCUUCGGGGUGUAAAGCUCUGUCAGCGGGGAAGAAGGAUGUCGGUACCAGACCCGGAUGCAUCGGCUAACUACGUGCCAGCAGCCUCGGUAAUACGGAGGGGGCGAGCGUUAUCCGGAAUUACUGGGUGUACGGGGAGCGGAGACGGUGUGGUAAGACGGAAGUGGAAGCCCGCGGCUCAACCGGGGAACUGCUUCGGGAACUGGCAGGCUGGAGUAUGGUAGAGGUGGGCAGAAUUCCUGGUGUAGCGGUGAAAUGCGUAGAGAUCAGGAGGAAUACCGGUGGCGAAGGCGGCUCACUGGACCAAAACUGACGCUGAGGCUCGAAAGCGUGGGGAGCAAACAGGAUUAGAUACCCCAGUAGUC
rnacentral:rRNA from 1 species